GGCUUGACAGGGCUGUGUAGAAGAGAGCAGAGGAUGGACCUGAGGCCCGAAGUUUGAUCCCAAGGAUGCACAUGGGGCUCACAACACUGUGCAACGUCAGUCCCAGAGGAGCCAGCGAUGUCUUCUACACUAUCCUGGGACCAAUGGUGUACUCUUCGCUAAAAUCAUGCACACAGGCAAAAUGGCUAUUGAAGGAAACUUCAUGAUUUUGAAGCGCCCAGAACUUGAUGCCAAAUACCCACGUAGGAUGCACAGUGGCCCACAACUCCAUUUCCGGGGCACCCAAGGCACCCUUCUGCCCUAUUCUGGGACCAGGAAUGCAGUUGCUGCUUAGAACACACACUCGGGCAAAACAGCCGUUCAUUAAAAAAAAAAAAAAAAAAAAAAAAAAAAAAAACAAAAAAAAAAAAAACCAAAACCAAAAACAAAAAAA
ensembl:processed_transcript